ACGAACGCUGGCGGCGCGCUUAACACAUGCAAGUCGCGCGAUGAAACUUUAACAGAACCCUUCGGGGCGAAGAUAAAGUGGAUUAGCGGCGGACGGGUGAGUAACACGUGAGUAACCUGCCUUAGACAUUGGGAUAGCCUCGGGAAACCGGGAUUAAUACCAAAUAAAAUCAUAAUGACACAUGUCAUAACGAUCAAAACUCCGGUGGUCUAAGAUGGACUCGCGUCCCAUUAGCUAGUUGGUAGAGUAAAAGCCUACCAAGGCGACGAUGGGUAGCCGGCCUGAGAGGGUGAACGGCCACAUUGGAACUGAGAAACGGUCCAAACUCCUACGGGAGGCAGCAGUGGGGAAUAUUGCACAAUGGAGGGAACUCUGAUGCAGCGACGCCGCGUGAACGAAGAAGGCUUUCGAGUCGUAAAGUUCUUUUAUAUGGGAAGAUAAUGACGGUACCAUAAGAAAAAGCCCCGGCUAACUACGUG
rnacentral:rRNA from 1 species